GGGGGCUCCGUGGGCGACCCCACCCCGUGUGUCCCCAUCACGUGGAAUCGCUGCUUAUUUCCUAAUCUGUUGGCUGAUCACAUCUUUGAAAACUGAAUUGUGGUGAUGGUCACACAACCGUUUUUUCUAUAGAAAUUCCAGCCUUCCCAAGUGAAAAAGAAACAGCACUCAGAAUGCCCUGCUGUGCGCAACAAGGAAAGGCCGAAUUCCCAGGGGCCAGGCCACCCCGAUGUAGCCUGGGGGGCUGCUUCUCAGCAGAUCUUCCGACAUGUGGCCAACUUGCAGUUUCUGUACGGGUGGCCAUUCCAGGUUCCUCGCAGAGUACUCACUGCUGCGUCCAGGUGGGAAGGGCACGUCCACGGGACAGGCAUCCGAGGGCUGUCCCCAGGGGAUUCUGGGAGCUACCUGGUGACCACAGUUGAAGAUACUGAGCGAGGAUGUCGUCGGCCCCGAGGAGCAGGCCUCGUGGGACAGAGCCGACGUCCUGCACCCAAGACCACCCCUUUCCAGAGCCACACCAUCUGCAGGUUGCCAAGGUAUUGCGCCCUGGUGUUUUCCACUACUUGAAACAAGGUUCCUAAUUGAUUCAAACAGCCAAGAAUUCAAAACCUCCCUGUCUUAUUUACUCGUCACACAGAGCUUUAUUACCUUCAUACAAGUUUGUAAAAUAUUUCAGGAAACAUGGAAAUUAAGUAUGAGUCCAGAAACGUGUGGGAAAUGGCUGUUUGAC